UAAGCGUACGUGGUGGAUGCCUUGGCAGCUAGAGGCGAUGAAGGACGUGGUAGGCCACGAAAGGCUUCGGGGAGCAGUCAAACAUGCUUUGAUCCGGAGGUAUCCGAAUGGGGAAACCCACCCAGUUUACUGGGUACCUUGCACUGAAUACAUAGGUGUAAGAGGCGAACCGGGGGAACUGAAACAUCUAAGUACCCCGAGGAAAAGAAAUCAACCGAGAUUCCCCCAGUAGCGGCGAGCGAA
rnacentral:rRNA from 14 species